GUCACUUUGGCGGAGUGGUUAACGCGCUGCCCUGCUAAUGAACAGUUAGCAUGUUAGGCAGUUCCUUCGGGAGCGUAGGUUCGAAUCCUACAGGUGACG
rnacentral:tRNA from 1 species